CACACCACUGUUAGUGAGGCAUGUGUGAUAUACGGGCGGAUCUUGCUGUGCCUAUGCUGUCACACAAAAGCAGCUGUCCCCAUUCCUCUGUGCCAAGUGGCUGGCAUACCUUAUGAUGGCCUUGGUGAAAACAGAGACUGUGUAUGUCCCGGGUGUCCUGGAAUCUCGGACCAUGAAUGCUCCUUCUUUACCCUGGAUUGGGUAGAAAGAGUGAAAGACAUAUUCCUGCUGUGGAGAGGCCAUGCCACUGAUUCACUUUCUGAAGGUGACCCCAGCUUAGCAGCCUUUAACACAAAGGAGAUGGAUCAGGUGAUCUUUCAAGGGAAUUCUAGCUUGUAGUAUUGUUAAUUCCAGAUGUUUCCCGAUGAAAAGUAUAUGUGUCAAUUUCUUCAUCUGCAAAAUGACCAUUGGUAGACUUGAAUAAUGUGCAAUAGAACAGUUCCUGGAACACAAUCCCAGGACACCGACUAUUAGGGUUAUUAGUUCUCAUUAUUAUCACAUGCUGUGGGGUAGCAUCUGGUGGAAGCAUGAGUUAUAUUGUUUGUCUUCAUCUGA